rnacentral:lncRNA from 1 species
CGUUACGUUCCUUUCCGUUGAGGGCAACGAUGUCAACGGUGUUGCGUUCUUUGCCGUUUAAGGCGACGAUGUCCAUGGCGUUGCGCUCUUUGCCGUUGAGGGCGACGAUGUCAAUGACGUUCUUCUCUUGUCCGUACAUAUUGCUUCUGACUUUGUACGCUUCUAACAAGCUUAUUCUACUCAAACCACUCCAAACCCCAAACUCCAAAAUGUACGGACAAGAGAAGAACGUCAUUGACAUCGUCACCCUCAACGGAAAGGAAAGGACCUCCUUCGACAUCAUCUCCCUGUAAAUUGCAACCCCUUUGUAAGUAUAUUAGAUAUAUUUUACCGAUACACCAAAGCAUGAGAUUUAGAAUGACAGUUUGAGUCCCUAUCUUAACUUUUCUCGCACUUACAAUUUCACUUUAAAAUUAAUUGCAGUACUUUUAUUAUUUAUGGGCUGAUACCAAAAGCGUAGCUCCAUACAUCAAAUUUUUUUAGAAUUAUAUUUUAGUGUUGGCAUCCCUCUUCUUGCCGUAACUCACUUUAAGAUGGUCAGUAAUCGAUAGAACAACUGCAUUGUACGAUUAUUUUGAUUACUUUGGAUCAUUAAUUUUUAAUUAAUCCAACUACUAAUUGGACUACAUUUCGCGAUUAGGAAAUAAAAUUUCUGACCCCAAUUGUAAAAUCACUUAUCCACAUAGGAAAAAUAAUGGCAAGUACGUUGUUUCUAAAGGGUGCUGAAAAUUGCAGUCCCUAAUUUCAAAAUGCGGUUCAAUUGGAUUAUGUAUUAUGAUUGAGAAAUUCUAGAUCUGGGUAAAAUAUGUGUGACUAGUUUUCCUGUGAACGAAGGUACUUUUGUGGGUGAACCGGAACUUGUAGUUUCUCAUCGCGAAACGAAGCUCAAUUUCAAUCCGAUUUUUAAAGAUUUCAUGUAAACCUAGCCGCUGCUUCUGAUCAAAGAUUUUUAAUGCGGAAGUUCUCCCCUUUAAAUUUUUUAGUAAUUUGCAUUUUUAUUUUAGUGUUUUCUUAUUUCUUUUCAGGUUCUCUUUCCAGCCUUAAGUCGGCAUCUAUCACAUGGCUUCCCCUCAACAACAUCCGAGGCUGGACUCCACCGCAUCAACACUCCCCACUCUCUCGCUCCCUUUCUCUCUCUCUUUCUCGCACUUACACAUCCACUCGCACGGCAAUAAGUUUAACUUGUUAAUAUUUAAUCAUAAUAUGUGUAUAUCAUAAUCAAUAGCUGAUAAGAAAUAAAUUUGGUUAAGAACAAAGUAUGAUCUUGAUUUCGUUGUCACUAUCCUCUGACAAAAGCUUUUAGAAAAAUGAAUUUCAUGAGUGAGCACCAUAAACUUCAAAGUUUGAUAAAGACUAUUAUGAACUCUGAGAAAUCAAUUUUGGUGCUAAAACAUUGGUGUCUAUACAGAUCACAAUAAUUGAGCUGCCAUUUUUAGAAGUUAUGUACUCCACGACACCACUUUAAAAGUUGUGUGUUUCUCUCAUUAUUCCACAAGAGAAUCUCUUCAUGUCCUUUUUAUCAAAAUCUUAGAAAGUUUUAUUUUAUAUUUGAGAAAAACUCAUUGAAAUUUUUGCAUAAACUUGUAAAUUUUUUCGAGUAAGUUAGAAAAUAAAAUACCUGCGGCAAACUGACAUGCUGCGUAUCUCCUAUUUUAGUGAAUAAAUUGUAAGGAUUCAAAUGGUUGUCAAUAACAAUCACUAACUUAAAACAAUCAAUAUGCGUGCUCAUUGAAUGACGUUAAAUGAAAGAGUCAGAGCCAAAAGGGUGUACUUGCAUUGCAACGUUGCGAAGUCUCACCCGGUACUAAUUUAUUCCCUUAAGAACGAUUGCAAAAAAAAGGUUUAAAUGUUUUUGUGAAUUUUCUUCAUUUUUAACAGAAAUUUCCCGCGAUUUUCUGUGUGAAACAUUCGCCUCCCUAGUAAAAGUGAGUCAGCCUGACGUGAGGCUAUGUUUCAUAAACUACCCUGAAUCUGACUGAUUCCGAAUGACACCCGUCUGACAUCAGCCUGAAUCAGUCUGACUUAGAGUAGUUUAUGAAACAUUUAGCCUGACGUCAGGCUGAUCCACUUUUACUAGGGCUCUCACUAGAAAAAAAACACAGUGGAUCUAGAGUCCAGACUCUUAAAAACAUUGACAAGAAAAAUGCUCUUGAUUCAAUCGGAUUUUUGCUUAAAUCAAGAACCAAGCCUCUUAAUUUGAGCGGAUUUCCUUUUGAUUUAAGCUUAAAUCUGAUUGAAUCAAGAGUAUUUUUUCUUGUCAAUGUUUUCAAGAGUCUAGACUCUAGAUCCAAUGUGUUUUUUUCCAGUGCUUGUUAAAUAGAUUAUAUUAAUUUGUUAAGCGAAACUUUCCAACAUCGCGGUGUAAUUUUGGCGCCGCUGACUCGACUGCUUCAAUUGAAAUCGUGAGUAAAAGAGGAGAAGUUUGUUUAACGUAAAAAAUAUAUUUCGAGCCAAAAAGUUCGAUCCCUAGGAUACGCCUAUUCAUAAUAAUUGAAAACAGAAGUAUGAGUUUGGCAGUGGCGAUUCUUGAAAGUUGGCAACACUGUUUAUUCUCCAUUUCAAUAUGUGAAACAAUCGAUUCUUGGUGAGGCUUGCAUCUUCUAAAAUCGAUAUUUUCAAUGGAUUUAAAUUGAGUAUUAACAGCGUUGCCAACUUGGUGGAUUCGCCACUCGUGUAUAUUGAUGUUCCAAUGGCCAUCAAAUAUCAAGCUGACUGGGAAAUUACCGAACUUACACGUAAGCGCCACUUCAAAUCGGAAUCAAUGACCCGAUGAGGCUGUCGUCGUCGCAUGCGCAUGUCGCCGAUCUUUCUCAAAACAAUGAAUAUUGUUCGAUAAUUGUGGACAUUAGCCAGAGGCAAAAUACUUCGACUUACCUUGGUCGUUCAGUCAACAUGACUCUGCAUUCCAGCCGCCAAAUAGUGCACGAUAAUAACCGAACUAGAUCUUCUUAGCGAGCCCAUGAAUGAACAUAACAUCAACAAGAUGUUUCCGAAAAAGAGGAGAUCGUGGGUUUUUGAAAAGGAAAUUUUUUCUAUCUACACAUUUACCAAAAUUGACAGCCAUACGAUUUUUAGGCGACCGUUGCCAUUUCGGAGGGAAAGUCGGACGCUUUCACAAGUUUCAUGCUUUUGACUUUAUUUGAACGAAAACCUGAGGUCAAGAUCAAUGUAAAAAUGAAGAUAACAUGGAAAAAACAACUUAGAGCUGAGCCCUAACACUAAAGGUAAAAUAGAGCCAAUUACAGGCAGUAAUACUGAGUCCUAUACAGCUUACAGCUCUGUUUUCCAUUUAAGGUUUUUCCUAACUGUAUAACAUUCCUCAAGAUUUUUCGUGAUUUUUCUCUGUGUGAAAUUUUGUAAAACUUUAACGAUAUUAAAACUUGCACCCUUCCAAAAACGCUUCUUACGACUUCCGCAUUCAGUUCUCACAGUCCUUCAUUUUUAAUUAACUAAUCACAUAUCGACGGUGUAAGUCGGCAAUCACAUAACUCGGUUUGCG